rnacentral:lncRNA from 1 species
CCGCCUCCCUCCUAACCCCCUCCCCCCUUGUGCAGCCGCCCCCCACUUCUCCCACACCUUGGCCGCCGCCCCCCUGCCCAUCUCCUCCUCUCUCAAUUCUUGCAGCCGCACCACCAAACCCUAGCCGCCCCCCAAUCUCCUCCUCCCAAGGUGCCAAUCCUUGCCGCUCGGAUCAUCGUCACGUGGUGCGAGCCUUCAAUCGUUUUGGUGGAGGGAAGAAGGGAGGAAGGAAAGGGGGAGAAUCCAAGGUGAUUUUUGUGUUCAUCCCUUGUUCAUUUGCGCUGCAAUUCAAUUGAUUAGAGGUUGCGUUUGCGAUUGGGUAGAGGGGGCUGUCCAGAAUUUUAGGUGGUGGAUGAACAGCAGUAGUUCUAGCAGUUUCUGUGUUUUUUUCGUGAGAAGUUAAGGGAAACAAGUUUGGGGAUCAUGUAGAACUUUGUCUUACCUUUCCAACGAGUAUUUAUGCGCUCAAUUUGGAGUUAUAAAUUGAAAGUUAUCACCGUUUGAAUCCGGGUAUAUGGCUGUCCAAAAAACAGAUUUUCAGGGGGAUGAACAGCAGCAGUAUUAGCAGUUUCUGGGGAUUUUUCGAGAGUAAUUAGGGUUAAUCAGUAUAAGAAUCAUGAAGGGCUCUUUCUUAUCUUUCCAACAAGUACUUAUGCACUUGAUUCGGAAUUAUAUUUUAAAAGUUAUCGCUGUUUGAAUCCGAGUAUGUCGCUGCCCAAAACAGGAAAAAAAACAGAUUGCAGGGUUUAUUUUGUGGACCGUUUAGGGUAACUAGAUGUUAGAAUUUAAUCAUAAAUUGUAUACAAAAAUUGUGGGGAAUUUUAUGUAGUUGCCUCUGGAGUUUUUGUUUGACACCACUGCUGUCUUAAUUUUAAAGUUAUGGAAUUGUUAAGCAGCGCCGCUGCAGUUUGGUUGGUGUGGGGAGAAUUGUUACCCGCGGCGGGGUUUGAGAUUGCGCGUAGGUGCGGCGUUGUUUUGAGUUUUUUUAUGUGAAUUUGGUGCACUAAGUUGGGUGUCAAAAACAGGUGGUGGACUCCCAGAUCGUUCUUAGGGGAUUUGCCCAAACUUCCGGUGAAGGCAAGUAAAACUGUGAUGGUUAUUCCGUCUGUCAGAUGAGGAGUCUUAUACUUGAUUAUGUUGUGCUAUUGUGUUCAUAUUCAUAUUUUAUUUUGAGUACCAUCAUUUGAAAAUGUUCAUGUUUCAUGGAUUUCAUAUGUUGAGUUUGAGGUUUGAUUAUGUUACUCAAGUGGUUAUUAUGUGGAAUGGGUGGAAGUAAAUGUCUAGCACAUUUUUUAUUUGGGAAGAACUCAUGAUGUGUCAUGCAUAAUGCACUCAUCAUCCAUUGCAUUGAAGUUUCGUCGCGAUCUUAUGGUCCGACCGUACCGGUACAUUGAGCAUCAUAUGUUGCCCGAGAAGGGGUAUGGUGCAGCUUCAUAUCCUUAGAGAUAUGGAGGCAGCAGUCAUUAUUGCAUUUGUAACCAUGUGCAUUCAUGGGAGAGGUGUGGAAUCUAUUAUGUGGAUGUGGAUAAUUUGGACUUGUGCAUGGUGACUCUACUUGGCGUUGAGAUUUUAGUUACUUAUUUACUUGCUGCAAUUUACUGUUCAAAAGAAAAGAAAGAAGUUCUGAACACGUGGUUGUGUAAGCACAGUUGAUUUACAAUGUCCUAUUGUUGUUGUUAUGUUUACUUGCUGAGAUGUGUUAUCUCACAUCUUGCAUUGUUUGAUGCAGGCACCUAAUUUCUGCUUUGGGAAUAGAGGGAUGUAGCAGCACGGCCACUACACCUUUAAUAAAGGAACCACCAUUUAAUAAUGUUGUUAAUCAGAGUUGGUCAAGUCUAGUGAAUUGCUUUGUUCUUGGUUGAGCGUUUAUUUUGGGGUGGGCUGAGUUUCUUAUCCCAUUGUUUUACUUCAGUUGGGGCAUAAAUGAGCUUUACCACUUUGCAUCUAGUUUCUACUAUGUGAAUUAUAUGUCUUUAUAUCUUGUAUGAACUUCAUGUUUUCCCCUCCUUGUUAUGUUAGUUUCAAAGGAGGUGCUGCCGGAUUUUGCUAUAUUUUCUUUCUUUAUUACGC